GCAUUAAUGGGGUAGUGGUAACCUGGGUCGUUGCCAAUCGGCUUACGUUAGCGCGUAAAGUCGACCCGCCGGGGGUUCGAUUCCCUCUUAAUGCA
rfam:Piloderma croceum F 1598 unplaced genomic scaffold scaffold_00061, whole genome shotgun sequence.